AGAGGGUUAGUAUAAUAAUACCAUUGACUUAGGAUCAAUAAAUAAGUAAUCCUUACUCUCUAC
rnacentral:tRNA from 1 species